CCUACGGGUGGCAGCAGUAGGGAAUAUUGCGCAAUGGGCGAAAGCCUGACGCAGCAACGCCGCGUGAACGAUUAAGCUUUUCGGGGUGUAAAGUUCUGUCAGUAGGGACGAAACUUGACGGUACCUACAGAGGAAGCACCGGCUAACUCCGUGCCAGCAGCCGCGGUAAUACGGAGGGUGCAAGCGUUGUCCGGAAUCAUUGGGCGUAAAGAGUUCGUAGGUGGCAAAUUAAGUCUGGUGUGAAAUGCAGAAGCUCAACUUCUGUUCGGCACUGGAUACUGGUAUUCUUGAGUGCGGUAGAGGUAAGGGGAAUUCCUGGUGUAGCGGUGAAAUGCGUAGAUAUCAGGAGGAACAGCGGUGGCGUAGGCGCUUUACUGGGCCGUAAUUGACGCUGAGGAACGAAAGUCUGGGUAGCAAAUGGGAUUAGAUACCCUGGUAGUC
rnacentral:rRNA from 1 species